GGCAGUGCCUGACGGCGCGUCUGACGCGGAGUUGGGUGGGGUAGAGAGUAGGGGGCGGUAGUCGGGGGUGGUGGGAGAAGGAGGAGGCGGCGAAUCACUUAUAAAUGGCGCCGAAGCAGGACCCGAAGCCUAAAUUCCAGGAGGGUGAGCGAGUGCUGUGCUUUCAUGGGCCUCUUCUUUAUGAAGCAAAGGUAUGAAACUUGUUUUCUUUUGAGAAGUUGGCCAAAACUACUGGUUAGAUCUGGCCAUUUAAUAUACAAGUACAGUAUUUUGUUGUUGCCUCAGUAAGAGAGUUGCCUUUUUUAGGUUCGUAGUUAAUAAAUUUCUUCAUCUUUCUGAGAUUCUUAUUGUUUUGCUUAGUGGCUCAAAUGAAUUAAAACAUUGCUACUCUCUUCCACUUUUCUUACUCAUCUGGAAGUAGCAUUUGAGGGGAAUGUUAGAAGGGGAAGAUGGGCUGUGGGAACAAAGAGCAUUUUGUGGUUAAUGACUUGGUGAGAAAACAUUGCUGAAGUUACUUUUAAAAGUAAUAUAUGCUGAGUAAGCAUUGAGCUAAUUAUAUUAGGUUAAAGGUAAAAGCCAAUAUUAAAAAUAAGUACAUUUAACUGUUGAUUGUUGAUUUGUCUGGCAAAGUUUGUAUUCUGGGAGGCCCCCUUUGUAUCAGGGUGUGCUCAAGUUAUAAAAACUGAUUUUACAUUUAGCUGAAGGUAAGCAGGAGAAUGCAUUCCAAAGUAAAAAAAAGUUUCAGUAUUUUGUUUCUGAUAACUUUUUUAGUACAAAUAUUUAAGACUUGACUAUACCUUAAACAGUCGUAGCUCCAAAAAUGAGCCCGUAAAAUACAAAACAGUAUAAUGUUUAAUUUAUGUAAUUUCUGCAUAAAUUCUUGGUGAGUAGUUUUAUGCUAUAUGUGUCUGAAAAUAGCCUUAAAGUGUCAGACAUUUCUGACUAAAUAUUAGCCAUUUUCACUACUUUUUUUUUUCCUGUGUUCUAAAUACACAGAAGUGUAUUUUUAAAGUUCUAAAGAGCCAAACGCGGUGGCACAUGCAUGUAGUUUCAGCUACUCAGAAGGCUGAGGCUAGAGGAUUGCUUGAGCCCAGGAGUUCAAGGCCAGUUUGGGCAACCAAGCGAGACUCUCUCUCUCUUUAUUUUUAUGCUCCCCGCCCCGCCCCGCCCCCCAAGACAGUAUUGCUCUGUCGCCCAGGCUGGAGUGCAGUGGUGCGAUCUUGGCUCACUGUGACGUCCCCCUCCCGGGUUGAAGCAAUUCUCCUGCCUCAGCCUCCCGAGUAGCUGGGAUUACAGGCACCAGCCACCACACCUGGCUAAUUUUUGUAGUUUUAGUAGAGACGGGGUUUCACCAUGUUGACCAGGCUGGUCUUGAACUCCUGACCUCGUGAUCCACCUGCCUCGGCCUCCCAAAGUGUUGGGAUUAGAGGUGUGAGCCAUUGCCCCUUGGGAGACUGUCUCUUAAAAAAGAAAUCCUAAAAUGACUGAAUUUGGAUGUAUGGAGAUGGUCAGGAAUUUCUAAGUAUAUGUAUACGUACAUACAUCUUAAUGAUAUAAUGUUUGUAAGUGCUAAAUUACGACUCAUGGCCAGGGGCUGUGACGUACAAGCCUGUAAUCCCAGGGCUUUGGGGAGCCAAAGCAGGAGGAUCACUUGAGGUCAGGAGUUUGAGAUCAGUCUGGGCAAGAUAGCAAGACUGUCUCUACC
rnacentral:lncRNA from 10 species